GCUGGGGUCGCCUAGUCCGGUAGGGCGGCAGACUGCUAAUCUGUUUUCCGCAAGGAUUCGUGGGUUCAAAUCCCACCCCCGGCG
rnacentral:tRNA from 1 species